UUUAUGUGUGUGUAUCUCUGUAGUUAAGUGUGUGUGUGUGUGUGUAUAUAUAUAUAUAUAUAUACACACACACACACACACACACACUUAACUACAGAGAUACACAAU